AUAACAUGGAAAUGGAAUGAAUGAAUGGACAAUGGGAAUGAGUUAACCAAUACACGAUGGCUUGGCAGGUGACCAAUGACCACAGCCAAUGAGGAUUUAAUAGGGGAUUUCAUUACUAGUAACAAGUAAAGCUGACACUGGGGAUAGUUCUCAAAGCAGUGCCUCCCGGUGGCGGGGUGGGGGGUGGGGCAGGGGGCGGAGAGUGGAGAGAGGGUUGUGGGUGUGGUUUGCUGCUGGCUUUGAUAGCUUUGGUGCACGAGUUGUUGUUCUGCUGGCACUGGGGGAAGUGUUGCUUUUGGUGUUAGAGUGAACCCUUGCUGGGACUUCUGCCUAGACCAUAAGCUCCAGAAAGGCAGGCUCGUGUCUCAUGGUAUCCCCAGACCUUAGCCCAGUUCACAGCUCCAUUAAUAUUUGCUGAUUGAAUGUAUAAGACUAAAGACAAACGGUCACUUAAAUGCAUUCAUGUGAACUUGAUACACUUGACAAAGGGAAACAGAGAAUCUGAUCUAAUCUGAGCGGUCAGGGGAGGCUUUUCCAAAGAAGUGACACUUGAGCUGAGACCCAAGGACUGGGUAAGAGUGAACCAGGUAAAAUGGGGGGCAGGGGGUGCUUCCCAAGCCUGCCCUGGACAGGCGUUCAGCGUUGCCACCUCCUGUGUGUGUCUCCCGGGAGGAAACAGAACUGAAAAGGCAUGCUCACUUAAUUUCUCCUGUUAUCUGUUGCUGAAAUGUAUCCUUUGUCUGUAUCACAGCCUUAUCUUGUACAGGAUUCAUGUGUUCGCGAGCUCAUUUCCACCAGAACUCAGCCCAGGCUGCUGUGGGAUGGAAUCACCUGCACCUGGAUGUGCUUUCUGGACUGGUACAUACAGUACUUUAAUCAGCAUUUAAUGACCCAGUCGAAAAUUCAUCGUUUGGACCCAAGCACUGGUGGGAAAGGCAGGAGGGGAGGCCUGCCUUCCUCUCUCCCUCCCGAGUCCUACAGCAGGCCAUGGAGUGGUGAGCGAGUUUGUACCGUGCCAGCCACAUUCCCAGAAACUUCCAGCCGAGGUUAAUCCUGCUCCUCUUGGGUAGGAGACAAUGAAUGGAUAUUAAUUAACAAAUGGACUCCCUAUGUUGGCUAAUGCCACUCCCUACUCAACCUAGGAUGACUCCACUGGUGCAUGUCCCCAUUCCCGGGCCCCAAGGCUGCGUUAAUGUGCUAUCCUGACUGCCCCCUUCAUCCUCCACCCCUAAUGUUCCUACUCCUUUCCCCUCCCAACACCAAGCCAUGCCUGAACUGGACACCCUUCCAUACCAACCCAGGAAAAAGUGAUUCAGCUCCGGUCCACCCUGGGUGCAGCAGUCCUUCUGCCAAGAUGCCUUCAUGUCAUACAGCUAUUAUUUUUGGGAGGAUUCAAGUGAGGGCAGUCAGGGUAAGUGCCUCUCACCAGCUUCCUGCUCAGACCAUUGCUCCACAUACCCUAGCUCAUAAAUCCUGCCC
ensembl:lncRNA